rnacentral:rRNA from 1 species
UUGAACGCUGGCGGCAGGCCUAACACAUGCAAGUCGCACGGUAACAGGGAUCAGCUUGCUGAUUCGCUGACGAGUGGCGGACGGGUGAGUAAUGUCUGGGAAACUGCCUGAUGGAGGGGGAUAACUACUGGAAACGGUAGCUAAUACCGCAUAACGUCGCAAGACCAAAGAGGGGGACCUUCGGGCCUCUUGCCAUCGGAUGUGCCUAGAUGGGAUUAGCUAGUAGGUGGGGUAACGGCUCACCUAGGCGACGAUCCCUAGCUGGUCUGAGAGGAUGACCAGCCACACUGGAACUGAGACACGGUCCAGACUCCUACGGGAGGCAGCAGUGGGGAAUAUUGCACAAUGGGCGCAAGCCUGAUGCAGCCAUGCCGCGUGUAUGAAGAAGGCCUUCGGGUUGUAAAGUACUUUCAGCGGGGAGGAAGGGAGUAAAGUUAAUACCUUUGCUCAUUGACGUUACCCGCAGAAGAAGCACCGGCUAACUCCGUG